AUUGAACGCUGGCGGCAUGCCCUACACAUGCAAGUCGAACGGUAACGGGCCUUCGGGUGCCGACGAGUGGCGAACGGGUGAGUAAUACAUCGGAACGUGCCCGAUCGUGGGGGAUAACGAGGCGAAAGCUUUGCUAAUACCGCAUACGACCUACGGAUGAAAGCAGGGGACCGCAAGGCCUUGCGCGGACGGAGCGGCCGAUGGCAGAUUAGGUAGUUGGUGGGAUAAAAGCUUACCAAGCCGACGAUCUGUAGCUGGUCUGAGAGGAUGAUCAGCCACACUGGGACUGAGACACGGCCCAGACUCCUACGGGAGGCAGCAGUGGGGAAUUUUGGACAAUGGGCGCAAGCCUGAUCCAGCCAUGCCGCGUGCAGGAUGAAGGCCUUCGGGUUGUAAACUGCUUUUGUACGGAACGAAAAGCCUUCUUUUAAUACAGGAGGGUCAUGACGGUACCGUAAGAAUAAGCACCGGCUAACUACGUG
rnacentral:rRNA from 1 species